UCUGGGCAUUUUUUUCAAAUACGAGAAAAUGAACGUUUGGUUCCCAGCCCACGUCUCUUUGAGAAGUGGUGCCGCUAGCCAGGCUAUUUGGAAACAUCAA